GUGAACGAAGAUGGUAGCUUGUCAGAGACACCUGACUCAAAGAACUCUACUGGGAAAUGCUCGUACAUCUUUCUACUUCCAGAGUCUUGGGUUAACCUCUCUUAUGAGAUCUUGUAAAACUUCGAGUCUCUGUUAUUGGAGCACUCAGAAUAUCAUAUUUCAGUUCCUGUCUUGCUGUAGGAUCUAAAGACCUGAAAGGAAGAGACCAUUUCCAGCUCAAUCCUUGAACUCCAUUAACCAACCCCUGAGACUGUGGAAGUCUGCAUAUUAGACUUUGCACACAAGCAAAUGUUCGUCCAUGGGAAUUCUGCAUACCUGGCAACCAACCGUUGUAAGAGGCUGGCACUGCAGUUCUGAUUCU